rnacentral:snoRNA from 1 species
UUUUCUGAUGAUCUCAAUGUAUUCGCUGUGUUCUUACUGAAUUUCCAUGUCGAAUAUACAUCACCUUGGAGAACUGACAU